GAGGAACAUUCACUAGAAGUUUCAGUGUGUGGAUAUUUCAAAGAGAACGCAAAAAUGGCAAAAAGAAAGGAUGAGAUACAAUCUAAGAGAGAGAGAAAGGUGCUGAGAGAAGUGAAAUGGAGCAGCAUUAAUGGUGACAAACCAAACUUUUCCCAUGAUACAGACACACCUGAAGAGAUUCAUUCUGGUAUUUCAGAUGGAUUCACAGAUGAGGGAUCUAAUGUUUUUGAAGAAGAUCGAACAUGAGUUUCAUACAGACUUUGUUGACUUUGUGUUUAUGGUUAUGAAAUAAAAAUAAAGGCAUUUGAUAUGACUUCUGCGCAGCAUGUCUGAAGAGUUGAAUU